rnacentral:rRNA from 1 species
CCUACGGGAGGCAGCAGUAAGGAAUAUUGGUCAAUGGACGCAAGUCUGAACCAGCCAUGCCGCGUGAAGGAUUAAGGCCCUCUGGGUUGUAAACUUCUUUUAUAGGGGACGAAAAAAGGGCAUUCUUGCUCACUUGACGGUACCCUAGGAAUAAGCACCGGCUAACUCCGUGCCAGCAGCCGCGGUAAUACGGAGGGUGCAAGCGUUAUCCGGAUUUACUGGGUUUAAAGGGUGCGUAGGUGGGUUGGUAAGUCAGUGGUGAAAUCUUCGAGCUUAACUCGGAAACUGCCAUUGAUACUAUCAAUCUUGAAUCAUCUAGAGGUAAGCGGAAUAUGUCAUGUAGCGGUGAAAUGCUUAGAUAUGACAUAGAACACCAAUUGCGAAGGCAGCUUACUAUGGAUGCAUUGACACUGAGGCACGAAAGCGUGGGGAUCAAACAGGAUUAGAUAACCCUGGUAGUCCACGCCCUAAACGAUGGAUACUCGACAUUUGUGAUAUACAAUAAAGUGUCUGAGCGAAAGCAUUAAGUAUCCCACCUGGGAAGUACGACCGCAAGGUUGAAACUUAAAGAGUAGUAGACGNGAGAGAGACGACGACGACGACGACGGAGGAGGAG